GAGCCUAAACUAUAAUGAUAUUGAAGUUGUACUCUCAUGUAUCAUAUUAUAUGUCUCAUGACAAUCAAGUAAUUUGGAUGAAAUGUUUAACAACCAAAAGACAUAUUGUUUGAGAGGAGUCAAAUUCGAUUGAUUUGACUAUAUUAUUUUACGAUCGAACCCUUAAAUAUUAGUUCCAUUCCAGAGCGACAUGAUUAAUACCAAAAAAGAACUGUACCUUCUAGUUUUUUUUUUUUUUUUAGUUUAAUAGCCUAGUGACUAGAUCACAUACUAUUUAAAGUAUGGAGAAGUGAAGAAUCCGGGAUUCGACCCCAGUCCCUACAAAUAUUGUUCAUAGUAGCUAACAACUGAACUACAUUUAUGGAACAUACCUUCUGAUCUUUAUUUCUACAACAACUAAACAUUCGGCGAAUAAAUCAGAGUGACAAUGAGAAGAGAGUUGGAGAGAAGCAUUCAACAUUGUAUUUGAUUUGAUUUCCAUAAGUCACCCGAUUGGAUGGGUCUUUAAUUAGCAUCACAUUUUGUUCUUUGGCCAAAUUGGGUUCCCUUUGUCUGCAUUUAUUAGCGUUGGGUGGCUUCUACAAAUGCUGAAUU
rnacentral:lncRNA from 1 species